AGACUAUACAAAUCUCAGAGCAAUCCCGACAUGAACCACGGAAGAGGACCAACAGGAGGAACAAGAACAAGCAAAUAUGGACUGAGUCAGCUAAGAUGGUCACUGCUGCUCAAGGUGGUCAAGAUUGUCAACUCAAGUCGACUUUCUUGAUCAAGAAGGACGACCCUGGUGUCCCAAGCAUCGAGUGCACAAUCAACGGAUAUUCUUUUCAGAAGACACUCUACGACACCGGAUCUAACGUCAACAUAAUGGCCGCAGUCACUUAUCAGCUCCUGCAUGGAACCAUGUCCCUACAACCAACAUACAUUCAGCUCUAGAUGGCAGAUCAGACAUUCUGAAAGAUUGAAGGUUAUUGACAUGGGAGAAGACGAGUACGAUCCACCCAUCAUCCUUGGAAGACCGUUCUUUAGCACCAUUAAAGCAAUCAUAUACAUUGGAACCAGAGAAGUCCACAUGCACUUCCCCUCAGAGAAGGUACGCCACUGUUUUACUGACCCUAACUAUAUAGUUGAAGAUUCUAAGCAGGUCAGGACAAGAAGACGAUGACACAGCCGCAACCAGAGGAGGCAAAUCAUCAAGGAUGAAUGGUUAGACAAUGAAGGAGAAGUUGUAAGGUCUGAAGACAUACAACUUAAACAGAAUUGUCCUGAGGCGACCGUAGCACCGAGUCAAGUGUGGAGAGAGAAGAUAGUUAUACAUGAAGAGCAGGCUCCACCGGAACCACCGACUACGCCAUCCUGCGAAUCCCAAGACGAUUGAGAAAACGGAGAGUCCCGUUCGGAGGACGUAAAAACACCGAACGCCCUGCCAAGAGGUAAACUUGGUAGUUAUCUUUUUCCUUUCAAUUAUUUUAGUUAAUCAGGUUCAUAUCAUCUUGAAAAUAAAAUAAAAAUGUUAAGUAAGCCCCAUGUGAGUAUGCUCAUGGCAUAAAGCCCAUAAGUACAUUCACUGUGGUGGCAUAAAAAUAAAAUAAAUAUAUUCCUGUCCUAUAAAAAUAAAAUUAUAAAAAUAAAUUUAUGAUCCUAUUAAAGAGAGUAACAUUUAUUGAGGAGGCUCAACAUGAUAAAGGCUAGAUAUUUAUGCUAACACUUAACCAGUUCCACAAAGCUUUGUUGUCUAUUUGAGCUCCACAGAAUUCAAGGAUCAAAGAAGACUAGCAGACGGAGGACAUCCUAAUCGCUGUCAGCCGACAUUCAAAUACACCUCCACCACCUACUAGCUACAUCAGAAGAAAUUACGUCAAAAUCCAGCUUGGGGGAGAGCACCCCCAUUUAUCCAUCUAAGUAUUCUACUCACGUUUAUACUUUACUCUAAUAAUAAAAGAUGCAUAAUCAUAUAAACCUAAAUAAAGAUUUUGUGCUUAUAUAUAUCUUUGCUUAGUUUGCUAAAUAAAUAAAUAAAUAAAGUUUGCUAUGAACCCUCAUGAUAAGCUCUCACAUGGAAAUGAUGAAUAGUUGCUCUGCCAUGACUAGUUCUCAAAAUUGAAAUCUCUCUCAAGUUUAGGCCUAACUGUUAAUAAUUAAGAUUUGCUCUAAACCUGAACUUGUGGGAAGAGUACUUGAUCUGAAGUCUAAGUCGUUAACGGAUAUGAUAUGGGAAGGUUGAGCUGCUGUUUAUCUAUUCCUAGAGAUGCUAGAAUUCUGGAGAAUUUUAUCUUUGAAAAUCUUUAAAAUGUUGCAUGAUGAGUUCCUGUAUGAUGAGAGUUUAAAUUCCUACCACAGCCAUAUAUACAUGCUUGCUAGACUUCGAGCCACACAUUUACUUUUUACUGCUUAUGAGCAUUGAGUGUAGUCAAGCUGUGUAGACCCUUAGGAGCUUGUCAUGUGGUUAAAUCAAGAUUCACUUGCACGUUCACUCACACAUGCUACUUCUACUCCAGAAGUACCAUCCACAUAUAUCCAUCCAUUUCCAUCUCCAGAACCACCCAAAAAUAUUCUACUCCUAAUCCGGGAGAGAAUAGCCAAAAACAUUCUCCUAUUUCUGUUUUCCCCUAUGAAAAAAAUGCUCAAGUUAUCUUGGUUACUACCACUUGCUAUAUUAUUUUAGGAGAUGAGUGCUCUAAAAAAAGAAAGAAAAAAAAAAGAAUACGAGGAAAUAAAAAGGGGCAAGUGCCCGGAACCUCGAAAGAAAAGAAAAAGUGAGACGAGAGGUAAAAAUGGACAAGUGUCCGACAGUAGAAUUAGGGGUACAAGAUACCCACGUAAGAGAAAAAGAAAAUAUAGAGCAUCUCAUUCUCCUCAAAAAGUUUCAAAAGAGUAAGAAAGGUAUGUAUCCCCUCAAAAGAGCACAAGUAGAAUUAGACUUUCACCAUUGUUAUCACCAUCAUUACCAUGCACCAUUCAUUCACCACACAUGCACAUCUUGAUUUGACUUAUUGACUUGUUCUUCUGGAUCCAUGGUUUGACUAUGCAAUAAAUGUCUUGUAAGUAUGUAUUAGCUGUCUCCCACCUAUGAGCUCCAGAUAUCAAAACCUUAUAAGAGUAGGGUGAGAGAGAAGGCAAUGCCACUAUGCCUUAUACAAAAAAUACCACAUACUUUGGUAAGGAUCCAGAAAUACCACAAAAGAGAGACUAGAGAGAGUCAUACAAGGAAUCUCUCAGUUUUAUUUGAAAAUCUGCAAAAACUCCAGAGCUAUAGUUAAUCGAAGAACAAGAGACAUGGCGCUUGACUAGCUGUUCUAUCUUUUAACUACUCAAGACAGAAGUGAUGGUUACAAGUCCCAUGGUGAAAGGUAAUGAGUAAGUUUUAAGUCUUAACAGUUUACUCUAACCCAGAGAUGAGAUCUUGUUUGAACGCAUGUGUAUCUUUAAGGCAUGAAACCACUGCAGAAACUCUUGAGUUCAUCUUUGCUCAGGGACGAGCAAAGGUUAAGCUUGGGGAAGCUUGUUGACGGUCCUUAAUGCUCACAUUUAACUAUCAACUAAUCAUGGAAAAGGAUCUAAAUGGAACCAACACCUAGACUUAGGGUUUUAUCUGACAGAAUUCUACGAGUUUUGGUGUUUGUCUAUUUCUGCAGGGGGUUAUCAGGGAAUAUGAAAGAAAGGCCCACACGUCGGGUUUACAUAGAGAUAUUAAUGUGCCGCGCAAUUUUCUAUCAUCUAGAAGACUCCAGAAACCACGGGACCGAAGCGGAGGCCGAGAGGGCUCAGGCACAGGGCGCCCGCCCACUUCCAGAGACCAAUUCGGUCACGUUUCGCGGACAAUGCUCCACCGACCUAAUACUUCAAGGAAAACCACACGAUCAAUGUCGGUUUGAUCCGACAGCCCAGAUUCACUUGAAGGGACUAUAAAACCAGACCUCCCUGGCCCCUGGAGAUCAUACCUCUUCUACAGAAUCAAAGCUAGGGUUUCAAUUCUUCAUCCAAGUAGAGAGGAUCCCUCUAGUUCUUCUAGUUCUAGUUCCUCUAGUUCUAGUUCUAGUUAGUUCUAGUUGUAAUCUAGAAAAUAGGGAGAGAGAAGAGGAGA
rnacentral:lncRNA from 1 species